CUUAUCUCAAGAUGAUAUGAAAAAGACUUCUGAAGUUAUCUUAAGCUGCCUGCAGUUCCAAGGACUGUUUUGAAUGGCAGGAUGGAGCAUCCCUUUGCUGCAUAGAAUGCAGGGCAUGACGCUUCUGCUGUGAGUUAACUGGUAA
rnacentral:lncRNA from 12 species